rnacentral:rRNA from 1 species
CUGCUGCCUCCCGUAGGAGUCUGGUCCGUGUCUCAGUACCAGUGUGGGGGACCUUCCUCUCAGAACCCCUACGCAUCGUCGCCACGGUGGGCCGUUACCCCGCCAACAAGCUAAUGUCACGCAUGCCCAUCCGUCUCCGGAGUCGCCUCCUUUGGCCGAAAGAAGAUGCCUCCCCUCGGCCACAUGCGGUAUUAGGCCGGAUUUCUCCGGGUUAUCCCGCUGAAACGGGCAGGUUGCAUACGCGUUACUCACCCGUGCGCCGGUCG